AAAGUCAUAUACACCUAGGAUGCCUCGAGGAUAUUUUACACUUGCUGUUCAACACAUCUGAACUUGUGCAGGAGGGGAGGACGACCCCAAUGAGUCUGACAUGCUGAACUGAAUCGCAAGUCCAUGUCCUCGAGGAACGAGUUUUGGACUGAAUUCAUGAUGAUGGAUGAAAAUGACAUGGGAUAUUUUAGACUUAUGCUGUGUAUUAUUGUCUUUGGGUUGGAGAAAAUUAUCAAAUGAAAUAAUAAAACUGUCGAACUUGA